rnacentral:lncRNA from 1 species
GACAGGGCAUGUGGAAUGGAAUUUGCAUAAAACUUAUCACCAAAUUCUGGAGGAUUCUCUUCACCCCCUCUCCACUUCCUCCAUUAUUUCUUAAUGGGACAAAAAGUGAUCCAAAAACAACCAAUGAAUUGUGUAUUUCUUGCAUGCCUUUGAUAUGCAGGCACAGAGCUACAAGCUACAUGUCCCUGGCCCCUCUCCCUAGGAGCACAGAGUUCCAGUGAAGAACCUAAAGCACAAACACUGACAGCUGUAAGAUGAGGAAACAGAAGCUGGGAUAUGUUGACAACUUCUUUCCUCUGCCUAUGUUGCCAUCCAUGUCAUGGUUUGUGUCAAGACUCUAGGAGAAGUCUACCAUCAGCACCACAGCUACUGUGCACAAAUCCAGAAUGCCAGACUGAAGUCAGAAGGAAAGAUCCUUUAUAUAUUGAAAGAAGAAAGUAGAACCAUUUCUGGGUCCCAGCUGUGGGAAGAGCUCCUGUGGCUGUGAAUUCUGACUUCUGGGUCUUGGCACAAGGUGUGGCCAGCAAGCUAAGCUGUCCUGAGGGUGUGCAGGGCCAGGGGCUGAAGACAGUGUUGGAGCAUCCACAGACUGGUUUGUCUCAAGAAGCAUGUUACUAAAUAUGAAAUAGCAAAAUCUGCAAGUGGGUUUACUUUUCCCCCAUAGAUUAGAAUGGAUUCAAUAUUAUCUCUUUAUUAGCGUCACUUUUAAUCACUUGUAUAACAAGUAGGACAGAAAGGUGGCUUGAAAGUCAAUCAUGUGAGAAUUCCAGAUAAAUUGACUUUGCUCACAACAAUCUGUUAUUCAUGUGACUAUCAACUGUCAUGUGUGCUGGGGCAAAAAAAGAAGAUAAGGAUUCACUGGUAUCAGAUAGUUCCAGGAGGGGAAACCCAGGAUUGAACUUUUUCAGCCUUCUAUGGUAAAAUUUCCUGCUCUGUCGGUGCGCCAAAGCUUUUUUCAGUUUCCUAAACUCCCAUAUUCAAGAAGAUAAGCUAUUUUCUCUUCUUUCUCAUCCUUCCUUGACAAAGCAAAGCAUAUUUUCAUUGUCUACUCUGUGUCAUCCAUGCUUGGUUCCUGUCCUCAAAGAGCUUAUAGUUCAAAUAAAGGAGAGGGAGCAUUUUACAAGGGAAUUAAAGGUAAAAGAUUCUGAAAGCCAGUUUAAAAAGUCGUGAGGGAGGGGUCUGGGAGAAGCUGAGCAGGGGUGAAAGGGUACGAAACAUUAUGGAAGGAGAACAGGGGAGCACCCUGACUACUGGGUGGAAACACCAAUCAGUGGGUAGAAACCACACAGUGGUAACACUGAUCAGUGGGUAGAAAACAAUGACAGCAGGUAUAUGAGGCAUGGAACACUUGGCUUAUUGUAAAGUUUUCAAAAUAUGCAGUCCUUUCUAUCCACCAGGGGUUGGGAGUUGUCUUUGUAUAUCAACCGUGGAAGGGCUGUUUUGGUUCAUCAUUCUGUGGUCUACCUGGGUAGACCUGAUGCAGCCGUGUUUCUGAGGAAAGGAAGAACAGCUUUUGUUUUGUGAUAUGUAAUGGUAGAUGUAGUGCCAUGGAAUGAUGCAGAUUUCAUUCAGAUAUUCUUGGAUCUUGGCCCCAGGACUCACUCAUUCUUCCCUAUAUGAGCAUUGGUAGUUACAGGUUUUAUCCUUCCUUUAAUUGUAAGUCUUUUGAAGCCAAAAACUGUAUCCAAUUUGUCACUGUCUCCUAACAGUACUUAGCAGUGUCUGAUGCAUCAUAGGGAGUUUGUAAAUGUUUGGAUAAAUAAAGGGAAAACAAAAACAACCACAAAAAAACCUUUAUUUUGCUUUAAUAAAAAUAUUUUAACUAGUUUCCACUGGCAUAUAUAUCCACAUGGUAGAUAUAUUCUAAGAAACAGUCUCUUCAAAUGAUGGCUUCAAUAAUGGAUGAAAAAUAAAUUUCCUAAUGAAUUAUUUUACAGAAAGCACCACACACACACCCCCAACAUCAAUAAAAAAUUCAUUUGUGAUUUUAAGAACUAUAGGAUAAUAAUAGGUAAUCCAUGUGAAGUUAUGACAGCUUGUAAGGCCAGGGAGGGCACGAGGAGAUGAAACACACAGAUCAUCUUCAAACCACAGAAGCUCAGACUUCUCUUGCUCUGAAAGUUGACGAUCAGUGAAAAGCCCACUGAUAGCUGAGUUUUACCUCCUCUUCUUCUGUAUAAUCCCUUUUUUGGUGAAAGCAGAGAUGUCAUGGACAAUGUAGGAUUUCAUCAAAUCUGAGAGGCCAUUGAUUAUAGGACGGCAUUGUUUUAGGUAUCACUAAGAAAGAAAAAAGCCUUGCCAAGUAAACUCCCCAAAUUCAGAGACAUUCAAAUGUUGAAAAAUAACUGUUUCAGAAUCUAUGAAAUACAGACAAUUCUCCCUAAUGCUUGGCCCAGGGCUUUGCAUACCAUAGGUGGUCAAUAAGCAUUUGUUGACUGAGUGAAUAAUGUUGACAAGCAGAAAUGCCUGGUUUAUAAUGCCUAGAGCCCAUCACUGAGAACAGUGGGCUAGAUCCCUUCUUGAUGUUUUAAGUAAUCGCUGAGAGAAUGGGUGGGCGAUUGCUCUUCUGAUUGCUAAGAACAAAACAAAACACAAAACUGAUAAAAAGCAGAGUUGCAGAACUGCAUCCUGUUGAUGUACUGCCAGAGGAGUCAGGCCUGGAGUACUGUUCACUAAGAAAUAGUGACUUUUGCAUCCUCGACGUCCCAGUCAUACACGGGCUUUUCUCUGAAUAAUCAAAGAAGGGAUUAUUUUGUGUAAGAAUGGACAAAUGAGUGUGUGAGUUUGUGUACGGUAAGGAAGGCAGGUAGAUAGAAAUACAUAAAAGAGUAAAAAAUUUCUUAAAAAAGCUCACUGGGUUUAACACAUGCAUCAUUCACACAUCAGAAACCAAUAUACACUUGCGACUCUGUACCCACAGAACUCAGAACUGCAGCUUGCAACUCCAUGUCUCCGCACAGUGAUAAAUAUGGGCAAUAUUAAUGUCAUCUUCUAAGCCCCCAAAAAUAUAGCUGACUCUGUUCAACAGAGCUGGUCAGACUGCGGCAGAUAAAUCAUAUUCAGAUCAGAACUCCAUGUACACAUAAUCUUUGGGGCAUUUGCAAAGUCUAGGGGCAUGCAGUGACAGAUCUGGAUUAUUGAUAUCACUCUGUAGCCUGUCCUCCUUGAGUUUUUUUUUCCUACCAGUAAUAAGGAUGGAUUCUCUGACACUGACCUCCUUAUAAAUUGGCUUCUAGUUCAUCUUUCCAGAGGUGCCACCAGAGAACCAAGAAGCAAUUUCAAUUAAGAGUACAAUUAGGGAACAUACCUUUUGAAAUAUUAUUUUUUAGUUUUUACUCAUUUUCAAUAGUGGUUGUGCAAGACCCUCUUAAGACCAUUUCAAUUUUCAGGAGGUUACUGCAAGAGUCUCACUGGGCUUAUCUGACUGUGUUAAACAAGGGCAGAGCUUAAGAGUUUGAUCACUGCUAGGCUCUUUAACAGGAGGAUCUGUACCGGAUCCCUGUGGGUAUUUCUGUGGGACCUGGCACAGGUUUUUGAACCUAGUAUCUGCUCAACUGAAAUGUAUUAAGUAAAUGAAUAAUGAAUAAAUGAUGCUAAGAAGCACAAGCCUCUUGGUACCACUGUAGCAAUUAAAGACUUUUAGAGUAUAUAAAUUUUUCUUCCUAAAAUGCAUUCUGAGGAGAGUAGAUAGGUAUUAAUGCAAGAAAACGAACACGAGUCCAAAAAAAUUGUUGAGCAUUAGUGGAUUCAGCAAGGAUUUUUAAUCUCUUUUUCUUAGAUUCCCCUGAAAGAAUUUUGAAACUAUGGACCCUGUCACACUUUUAAGUUAGCAUCUAAAUUUUUUAAAUCACAAGUUGUAACAGUUACAAAGGACGCAAUUUCUGGCAUGUUUGACAGUUAUGAAGGACGCAAUUUCUGGCACAUUUCUACUGUUAUAUCACUCUUUUAUUUAUUUUUUUUAUUUUUUGAGAUGAAGUCUUGUUCUGUCACCCGGGCUGGAGUGCAGUGGUGCAAUCUCGACUCACUGCAACUUCCGCCUCCUGGAUUCAAGCAAUUCUCCCACCUCAGCCUCCUGAGUAGCUGGGAUUACAGGCAUGCACCACCACACCCAGCUAAUUUUUUUGUAUUUUUAGUAGAGCUGGGGUUUCGCCAUAUUGUCCAGGCUGUUCUCGAACUCCUGGCCUUAAGUGAGCUGCCCGCCCAAAGUGCUGGGAUUACAGGCUUGAGCCAUCACGCCUGGUCUAUAUUACUCUUUUAAAUGUAUCCACAGAACCUAAGUAUCAUAACAAUUUGAUGCCUAUCUCACUAUUUUAAAAAAAAUAUAGAAACAAGCUCUUGAAAUUUUACAUUUCUUUAUCUCUAUAAAUGCAUUCUUUAUAUUCUACUUUCUCCAUAUGGUUUUAUCUUAAUGAAAUGUAUUGUCAUACUUAAAAGACUUUUCUUGAACAUUUUACUUCUCUGCAACGAAAAUAUGUAUCAAAUUUGAAAUUAAUAGUUUUAUUCAUUGUGCCCUUAAUCUUUUGUAUUAAAAAUUCUACCACUGAUAUUUAACAAACAACAAUAUAAACUUUAAUAAAAUUAUUAAGCAUGAAAAGUAAAAGUACUGG